rnacentral:hammerhead_ribozyme from 1 species
UUACUGCUGAGGAGUCCCACAAUAGGACGAAACGUCCGUCUAGUGU